UGCAGUACGGAGAGAGGGAUGACUGGUGUC
rnacentral:piRNA from 1 species